UGGGGAUUAAAUUAUUUAUUUUUUAUUAUGAAAAGAUUCUUUUUUUUGGUAAUUUUUUUGACCAAAGGUUUUUUAAUUAUAGUUUAUUAGUAUAGUGAUUGAAUUUUGAAAUAUUUUUUAUUUGUUUUUAAGAAGAAUUAAAUUUUCGUACCUUGUGUAUCAGGGUUUAUUAAAAAGAAGUUAUUUAGUUAAUUUUCUCGAAUUAAAAAGAGUUAAUUGGCCAUUAAUUUAGUUGUUGAAUAAAUUUUUUUAAUGGCUUAUUAGUAAUGAAACGUUAUUCGUUUUUUAAUAUAUCUAGUUUUUUAAGAAAGGAAUUAAAUUCUUUUAUUUAUUUGGUUAGGGUUUUAUUUUUAACUUUAAUUUAGUGAAUAUAAAAUACUCAAUGGGAUGAGCUUUUGGGUAAAUUUCUAAAAAUUUUUAUUUUUUUUGAAUAUUGGUAUGAUUAGAAUUGUUAAUCUUUAGAAUAAUUUUAUAGUUAAUUUUUUUUGGUACUUGAUUUUUAUUAAUUUUAGUUUUUAUAUUAAAAUGUAGCCGUUAAUUUUUAUUGUUUAUUGAUUAUGAUAAAAUUAGUAAAAUAUUUUGUUGGUUGAUUAGUUUUGUCAGGUUUUCUAAAGGAAUUCGGCAAAUUUACUUUCCGCCUGUUUAUUAAAAACAUGUCCUUUUGAUUAUAAUUUAAGGUUUGAUCUGCUCAAUGAGGAUUUAAAUUGCCGCGGUAUUUUGACCGUGCAAAGGUAGCAUAAUAAUUAGUUUUUUUAUUGAAAGCUGGAAUGAAUGAUUGGACGAGAAAGUUACUGUCUCUAGAUAAAUUGUUUUUGAAUUUAACUUUUGAGUAAAAAGGCUUAAAUUUUUUUUAAAGACGAGAAGACCCUAUAGAGUUUAAUACUAUAGCUAAUUUGGUGUUAUUUGGUUAUUUAAUGUUCUUAUUAUUUAUAGUAUUUGGUUGGGGUGACUAGAAGAUUAAUGAAACUCUUCAAAUUUUAAAUCAUUUAUUUGUGAAUAAUAAAUCUAAAGUUUUUAAAUUUAAGAUAAAUUACCUUAGGGAUAACAGCGUAAUUUCUUUUAGAGUUCUUAUUGAAAAGGAAGUUUGCGACCUCGAUGUUGGAUUAAAAUUAAUUUUUGGUGCAGAAGCUAAAAAAUUGGGUCUGUUCGACCUUUAAAAUUUUACAUGAUCUGAGUUUAAACCGGUGUGAGCCAGGUUGGUUUCUAUCUUAACAAGUUUACAACGUUUUAGUACGAAAGGACCAAAUGUUGAAUAAUUUAUUUUAUUUUUGAAUAUUAUU
rnacentral:rRNA from 1 species